rnacentral:lncRNA from 1 species
GUUUGUGCUUUGAAAGACACAAAAACUAACAUAUUUAGCAUUUACUUUCGAUUUGUAAUCCCUUGAGGCCUGCGUAGUAAUAUCAAAAUCAUACAUGACGCUGAAGACGGGUUCGCAAAAAAGAAUCUCGAAUGGUCAACAAUAAUAAAUCGCUCAAGGUGAAUAAUUAUCUAUUUUAACAUAACAGCUAAUUUCAACUGUUACAGUAAAAACAAAUAACAAAACAUUGUCAAAUUUGAAACAGAAGUGUACGAGUUGUCCUACGCUUCAGACUUGACAUUCACUAAACAUGCAUGCUGAAAUUGACAUGGUUGAUUUCGUAACACAAUCAUACACAUUCAAGUUUUAAAAUCGACAAUUG